CGGCAGACCGCCCAGACUCCAGCUGCGAUUUUGAGUCCUACAGGAUUUAUUCUUCAGGACAUGAAAGAGCUAAUGGAUACACAUCGUGAUGAUGAAGUGAUCUGAAGAUGGCUGUUCAGCGAAGGUCCCCAUCCAAUCUGACAGAGCUAGAGAGGAUAUGCAGAGGAAAAGGGCAGAAAGUCCACAAAUCCAGAUGCACAGAGGAUCAGGCUGAUUAAGUGUCCUUUGGAAUUUUGUUCUUUAGCUGCACCACAUUUUGUGGUAUGACUUUCAUUUGAUUUAUUAACACACUGCAUAGUUGGGAUUAUGAACGAAAAUGUAAUGUUUAUAUGAUCACAAUUAAAUGGAGCCCCCUGUCAAGAUAGACACAUGGAGAAAUGUCAUUUUAGUUUAAUUCAUCCUGGGGGUCCCUGAAGAACUGUUUGUGAACAAUUGGUUUAUAUUGU